rnacentral:rRNA from 1 species
AUUGAACGCUGGCGGCAGGCCUAACACAUGCAAGUAGAGCGGAGCGGCGGACGGGUGAGUAAUGCCUAUUAAUCUGCCUGGUAGUGGGGGAUAACGUCCGGAAACGGGCUCUGAUACCGCCUACUAACAGAUGAGCCUAGGUCGGAUUGGCUAGUUGGUGGGGGAAGGCCUACCAAGGCGACGAUCCGUAACUGGUCUGAGGGGAUGAUCAGUCACACGGGAACUGAGACAAGGUCCAGACUCCUACCGGAGGCAGCAGUGGGGAAUAUUGGACAAUGGGCGAAAGCCUGAUCCAGCCAUGCCGCGUGUGUGAAGAAGGUCUUCGGAUUGUAAAGCACUUUAAGCUGGGAGGCGUUACCAACAGAAGAAGCACCGGCUAACUUCGUGCCAGCAGCCGCGGUAAUUC